GAUGAACGCUAGCGGCAGGCUUAACACAUGCAAGUCGAGGGGCAGCACGUCUUCGGAUGGUGGCGACCGGCGCACGGGUGCGUGACGCGUAUACAAUCUACCUUUUACAGGGGCAUAGCCCGGGGAAACCCGGAUUAAUAUCCCAUGGUAUCAUUUAGUGGCAUCACUUGAAUGAUUAAAGUUUCGGCGGUAAAAGAUGAGUAUGCGUUCUAUUAGCUAGAUGGUAAGGUAACGGCUUACCAUGGCUACGAUAGAUAGGGGUCCUGAGAGGGAGAUCCCCCACACUGGUACUGAGACACGGACCAGACUCCUACGGGAGGCAGCAGUGAGGAAUAUUGGACAAUGGGCGAGAGCCUGAUCCAGCCAUGCCGCGUGCAGGAAGACUGCCCUAUGGGUUGUAAACUGCUUUUAUACGGGAAGAAACACCUCCACGUGUGGAGGCUUGACGGUACCGUAUGAAUAAGGAUCGGCUAACUCCGUGCCAGCAGCCGUAC
rnacentral:rRNA from 1 species